rnacentral:lncRNA from 1 species
AUGAGCUUCCGGGUGGGAAACGUUUUAAACUAAUGGUCGUGGAUUUAUGAAUUGAACUAUGAAUGGUAAAUCUGUGAUGAAUGGUGAAUGAAUAUUGAUUGUUGUUUAUUCAUUAUGAUGGUUGUAUCCUUGUUAUAUUCUUGUAUUUGUGCGACGCCGUGCAAAUACAGGGGAGACUCUGUCCGUGUGAACAGUGGAUUUCCUGUAUUUGUGGCGGAUCUGGCAUACCCUGGG